UACGGGAGGCAGCAGUGGGGAAUAUUGCACAAUGGGCGCAAGCCUGAUGCAGCCAUGCCGCGUGUAUGAAGAAGGCCUUCGGGUUGUAAAGCACUUUCAGUCGUGAGGAAGGUGUUAAGGUUAAUAACCUUAGCAAUUGACGUUAGCGACAGAAGAAGCACCGGCUAACUCCGUGCCAGCAGCCGCGGUAAUACGGAGGGUGCGAGCGUUAAUCGGAAUUACUGGGCGUAAAGGGCACGCAGGCGGUUAAUUAAGUUGGAUGUGAAAUCCCCGGGCUUAACCUGGGAAUGGCAUUCAAGACUGGUUAGCUAGAGUCUUGUAGAGGGGGUAGAAUUCCAUGUGUAGCGGUGAAAUGCGUAGAGAUGUGGAGGAAUACCGGUGGCGAAGGCGGCCCCUGGACAAAGGCUGACGCUCAUGUGCGAAAGCGUGGGGAGCAAACAGGAUUAGAUACC
rnacentral:rRNA from 1 species